GACGAACGCUGGCGGCGUGCUUAACACAUGCAAGUCGAACGGACGAGUGAGAUAAGUUUACUUAACUCACAAGUUAGUGGCGGACGGGUGAGUAACACGUGGAUAAUCUACCUGCAACACCGGGAUAACGCUGUGAAAACGGUGCUAAUACCGGAUACGUUCCCUUGUGCGCAUGUAUGAGGGAAGAAAGCUCAGGCGGUUGCAGAUGAGUCCGCGGCUGAUUAGCUAGUUGGUGAGGUAAAGGCUCACCAAGGCGAUGAUCAGUAGCCGGCCUGAGAGGGUGAACGGCCACACUGGGACUGAGACACGGCCCAGACUCCUACGGGAGGCAGCAGUGGGGAAUCUUCCGCAAUGGGCGCAAGCCUGACGGAGCAACGCCGCGUGGGUGAAGAAGGCCUUCGGUGUAAAGCCUGUCUUAUGGGAAGAAGUCAGUGACGGUACCAUAGGAGGAAGCCACGGCUAACUACGUGCCAGCAGCCGCGGUAAUAGUACUA
rnacentral:rRNA from 1 species